CCUACGGGAGGCAGCAGUCGGGAAUAUUGCGCAAUGGGCGAAAGCCUGACGCAGCGACGCCGCGUGAGGGAUGAAGGUCUUCGGAUCGUAAACCUCUGUUAGCAGGGAAGAACGGUCACUGUGCUAAUCAGCAGUGAAUUGACGGUACCUGCACAGGAAGCACCGGCUAACUUCGUGCCAGCAGCCGCGGUAAUACGGGGGGCGCGAGCGUUAAUCGGAAUUAUUGGGCGUAAAGCGUUCGUAGGCGGUUUGUCAAGUCAAGGGUGAAAUCCCCGGGCUCAACGUGGGAACUGCCUUUGAAACUGGCAAACUGGAGUGUGUGAGAGGAUAGUGGAAUUCCAGGUGUAGGAGUGAAAUGCGUAGAUAUCUGGAGGAACAUCAGUGGCGAAGGCGACUAUCUGGCACAUAACUGACGCUGAGGAGCGAAAGCGUGGGGAGCAAACAGGAUUAGAUACCCUUGUAGUC
rnacentral:rRNA from 1 species